UGGCACGAACAACAUCAUUUGGGGUGUGUAGAUGGAAUGGUGAGUUGAGGUCAAUGUUGUGGGUGGGUUCGGAUGGCCGAUGUGCUGAUGAAGAGGGCAUGAAGUGAUGGCAGGUUUGCGUUUCGAUAAAAGGAUACGAACUUGGCAUGGAGUGAGGGUAUGAAGAGGGUGUUGGUUCAAUAUAUGGUGGUUCUACGCGGGUUUCAUCACAAGGGG
rnacentral:lncRNA from 1 species